UACGUAGGCAGCAAGCGUUGUUCGGAGUUACUGGGCGUAAAGGGCGCGUAGGCGGCAAUUCAAGUCAUCUGUGAAAUCUCCGAGCUUAACUCGGAACGGUCAGAUGAUACUGUUUUGCUAGAGUACAGAAGGGGCAAUCGGAAUUCUUGGUGUAGCGGUGAAAUGACGUAGAUAUCAAGAGGAACACCUGAGGUGAAGACGGGUUGCUGGGCUGAUACUGACGCUGAGGCGCGAAAGCUAGGGUAGCAAACGGG
rnacentral:rRNA from 1 species